GAUGAACGCUAGCGGCAGGCCUAAUACAUGCAAGUCGAACGGUGUCUUCGGACAUAGUGGCGCACGGGUGCGUAACACGUAUGCAACCUACCUUACAUUGGGGGAUAGCCUUUCGAAGGGGAGAUUAAUACCGCAUAAGACAGUAGCUGGGCAUCCAGCAGCUGUUAAAGAUUUAUCGAUGUAAGCUGGGCAUGCGUCCAAUUAGCUAGUUGGUGAGGUAACGGCUCACCAAGGCAAUGAUUGGUAGGGGAACUGAGGGGUCAAUCCCCCACGCUGGCACUGAGAUACGGUCCAGACUCCAAGGGGAGGCAGCAGUAGGGAAUAUUGGGCAAUAGACGCAAGUCUGACCCAGCCAUGCCGCGUGCAGGAUGAAGGCGUUAUGCGUUGUAAACUGCUUUUAUACAGGAAGAAACGACUCUUGCGAGAGGCAUUGACGGUACUGUAUGAAUAAGCACCGGCUAACUCCGUGCCAGCCGCCGCCGUAACAC
rnacentral:rRNA from 1 species